GUACAUAAUUUUAGAUAUAUUCAUUUUAUAUACUUAAUAAAGUUAAUUACAUUUAAGUCCUUCUUUAUUCACUUUUUUAAAAGUGUCUUUUGCUACAUUAAUGUAACUCGCCUAAGCUUCAUGAUAGUCUGCACCUUGAUCUGUAAUAUUAGGUGUAAUCUAUUAUGACAAUAUAUUAUAUAUUAUCAGGUUUACGACGGCAUACAAAAUAUUACAUGAAGUAGACUACCUUGGUGGUUAUCAAUUAUUUGGUAAGUUCCCCUAAAUUUUAAAAUUACCGUCAUGCUAUUUGAGUUUUAAUCAAGAAAAGAUUUUAGUACUCAGUACAUAUAGAAUGGGUAUUGUAUAAAAGGGUAUCUAAUCCUUGUUUAUAGUCAAUAUUUAGAAAAAAUACUAGAUUAUUUAUGAUUAUAAAUACUAUUUCACCAAAUAUUUGAUAUUAUAAGCUUUGUACAUACUAUAUACAGUUUAUUACUACAAAAGUCUGACCGCGACUGCUGGCACUUUUUUAGUCAUAGUACAUAUAAUUGGUUUAUUCUUACUUUCGUAAAUUUUUAAAUUUUCUUUCCUGGAAAUAUCUUUUUAGUUCCAUAAGUAUUCCUAUUCUAUAUAAACAGCUCACCAU
rnacentral:rRNA from 1 species